GGUGAUGUAGCUCAGUCGGUAGAGCAAAGGACUGAAAAUCCUUGUGUCGCUGGUUCGAUCCCGGCCAUCACCACAA
rnacentral:tRNA from 1 species